ensembl:lncRNA
AUGCAUGUUCAACAAGUGUUGGCUUCAUCCUUAAAUAAGGGCCACCUGAUUCACACCUGUUUCUUCACAAAAUUGAUGACCUCAGUGAUUGAAUGCCACACUGCUAUUUUUUUGAACACACCCCUUUCAACUAAUUCAACUAAUUGCCCAAUUGCGCGGCCUUGGGCUCAUAAUGCCGUCCCCCUCAGCACGGGGACUGAGAGGACAGCCAUUCUCAUGGCUCCUUCGGAAGCUUUCGUUUUCGUUGUUUUCUUUUCUUGUCUUUAUUAAGUUUAUUCAACUAUUCGCCUCUCCACACGAGGAAGACAAAUUCUGGAACAUUGUUUGUUGAACCUUUCAAAUACCGCGUGAUUCCGCAGCAGCCCCGGCCCGGAAGACAAAGAGACCAUGCUCACUGCUAAGCUCCAGCGCAGCCCAUGCGCACGCCGGUCUGGCGUCACACCGAGACUUUGCAAGUAUCGUUUUCUAUGGAGAUUUAAAUGCUGCUUAAAGUGUGCCUAUGAUUUGAUUCGUUUGGUGUCUUUCAAGGGUACUGCCUGUGAUUUUGCAUAACAGAGCUCAUUCUGUGACCACGCUGUCUCUCUCUCACCUCCCUCCUCUCUCAUUCAUUCUCUCUCUCUUUCUCUCCCUUAUUUGGAUUCCGUUAUGUCUUGUAAAAAGUUUACUGUCUGUAUUGUCGUACGCGUAUUUACUCUGAACUAACAAUACAUCAAACUACAAACCACACAAUUAUUAAAAACCCAUAUAUUCAUGAUUGCCUCCACACCGCUCACAUUACGAGUCACUGAGAUGUCUGAUCUAGCUACAAGCCUUAAAUUUAGAAACUACAUUUAUCAUAAUGAUAGGAUAAUGUUUUCAUGGCCAGAAAAUAUUUUUCCUUGAAUUAUAAGAAGUGAUAACAUUAUUGAAAAUUGAUAAGUUAAUCUUACGGCCGUUUGCUGGACAAACCACUGUUUGAUUUGCAGUAAUUUACAGUAAGAGAUCACAAUAAUUGAUAUAAAGAAUGGAAUAUUGACAUAUUAAUGAGUAAAUUACAGUGCCCUGUAAUGAGUUAAUGAUGAAUGCAAUCGAGCUAUUUUUCAUAAUCAAUAAAAUUUAGUGUAACUGUCAUAUGAGAUAUAUAUUAAUCAUAUUCCUGAUUAAUUAUUCAAAUUCCCUAUAUAUCAUUUGAGUUAAUUAUUAUGUACAACCCAGUGCAGCUACACAUGUUCAGAAAGGAAAUUAAGUGAAAUAUGAAAAGCCUAAAGGGAAUAAUUAGCCUACGAGAUGAGGAUAAAUAAAAAAAAAAAAAAAAAAAAAUAUAUAUAUAUAUAUAUAUAUAUAUAUAUAUAUAUAUAUAUAUAUAUAUAUAUAUAUAUAUAUAUAUAUAUAUAUAUAUAUAUAUAUAUAUAUAUAUAUACUUUUUCUUUGUUAAUAGUAUACUUUGUUAUAGUGUUAGUUUAUUCAAUAUAAAUUGAGUUACAGUUAUUUAAUAUAUAAUGAGUUCUGUAUUGUCCAAUUAGAUGUUAUGUCAUUAAAUGGGGACUAGUUCAUUGAUUAUGUUCAGAGUUAUUAUGCUCACAGGUUCAGGUGCAGAUGAUUGUAGUCAAACCCGUCAGCACUGAGAAAUGGCAUGAACCCCACUGCUGUAAAGUUAUGCUUUACUAGUAAAGUUCCUGCAAUGGAUUAUCUUUGUUGUGUGCUUCUCUUAAUGCCUACAUGGACACUGAUAGACUAACGUUACAGACGAGAGCACAAGAAGUUGUAGCAUUUGCUUCGGAUCAUUGAUGGGUGGUUUCACUUUAUGUCUUAGGAGACUUUUUUAGCCUUUUGUCAUUUGCAUAUAAAUUACAAACCUGGCCCCUCCAUCGAAAUUUAUAUGGUUGCUAAAAUUAAAUGGUUGUACCACUAUCAAGAAAAGGCUAGACAGAUCAGGUCCCUUUGGUCUCCCCAGCGAACUUCAAACACAUUCCAAAGAGGAGUAAAUGAAUCUGGUAUAUGCAUGUGUUGUCUGUAUGUUUCCCUAUUACUUUAGUCUAGUUACCAAUGUUUAUUUAUAUUAGAUAACCUCUAAAUGCUAAUAUUCAGGUGUAUGAAUACAUCUCUGGUUUAAUGUCUUCUAGAUGUUUCGUUCUUGUAUCAAAAUGAUCUCCUCUGUAUUCCUCAAACCAUGAUGUAUUCGUGAUGAUCGUGAAAUGCAUCAUACUAUUUGUACCAUAUUUUGUGUAAAACUACACCAGUUCUUCAGGGUAAUCAUAAAGCAUGCAAAUGAGGUGUCACUGGGACAAAGAAAAACUUUCCUGCUGAAACAAUAUGCCUUGUUACUUGUAAACCUAAAUAAAAUGGGUGUUACAGGGAAACCAGAUAAAAUUUCUCCCACACCCAAAAAGGGGCGCUUCUCUUUACUUGCGUUUUCCCUGGAGACACCCAUCACCUUGGAAACCAUGUGACUCCCCAUCUGGGGGAGUCUGAUCUUCUGGCAGUUUUCAGCAACUUUGUUGAUUCUAUCCAUUAUACAUGCACCAGGAAACUUUACUCAGCAACUACAGAACCAAUGCAAGUUACCGCUUGUUAACUAUUUAGAUGCGCUUCUAGGCUUUAACUAGGGUUUGGUAUCGACUGGGUUUUUAUGAUACCGGUGCCAAAUCGAUACUAUUAAAAUGGUAACGUGCCUAAACAGUGAUUGAAACGAUACUUAAAAAAAAAACACAUUAAAGAACAUUACAAAUAUUUAAAAUAAAUAAACAUAGCAUUCAUAUGCUCCUUGGGUGCUCUCAUUUCCUGAGUUGUGCUCCCCUUACUCUAAGGUGUCACAGUCAUGGACUUUUUUCCUUUUUUGUUAUCCCUAUUAGGUCAAGUUCUGUUCCUAGUUUUGUUAAUUAAUUAAUUAAUCCCCACCUGUUUCCAUUCCCCUCCUUAUUUUCCUUGUGUUUAAAAAACCCUGUCUGUUCAGUUCCUUUUUGUCUGCUAUUAAUGUAAUGUUUGAUGUCCUGUUCUAAUGUUGGAAGAUUUGUGUUGGAUGUGACCUUAUUCUCCCGUGAUAAUGAAAAUAACUAGUUUAUAUAUAUAUAUACACACUCUUCUUUCUCAUGCGUUUGAUUUGCAAACCCAGCUUGUGUGACAGAAAAGCGGACCUAAAAAGUGUGUUUUUAGCAGUGAUUUUUUUUUAAUUUUGUGUUU